rnacentral:rRNA from 1 species
CUACGGGACGCUCCAGUCGAGAAUAGUCUACAAUGGACGAAAGUCUGAUAGUGCGACGCCGCGUGGAUGAAGAAGCAUUUCGGUGUGUAAAGUCCUUUUCUGUGUGAGCAAUGUUUUCCAGGUUAAUAGCUUGGAGAAAGCGAUAUUAACACAGGAAUAAGCUCCGGCUAACUCCGUGCCAGCAGCCGCGGUAACACGGGGGGAGCAAGCGUUGUCCGGAAUUACUAGGCGUAAAGGGUAAGUAGGCGGAAUUGUAAGUCAGAUGUUAAAGGCACCGGCUCAACCGGUGUAUGGCAUUUGAUACUGUAAUUCUAGAGUAAGGUGGGGGAAGACGGAAUUCCUGGUGUAGCGGUGGAAUGCGCAGAUAUCAGGAGGAACACCAGAGGCGCAGGCGGUCUUCUAUACCAUUACUGACGCUCAAUUACGAAGGUGUGGGUAUCAAACAGGAUUAGAUACCCUAGUAGUC